UCCAAACGCCAAAAUAAUGGCCGACAACCGGAACUCAGCGAGCCCCACGGGCGUAAUUUCCUAUGGGGACAGGGGGACAUGUCCCCCCAACUUUUCAAAAUCCCGGUCGUGUCCCCCCCACUUUCAAAUUAGUUUGUUAUUAUUUUUUUUAACCGCGCGCCGUCAUCGUCACGGAGGAGCAGGACCGAGCAAAACAGACAUCCUGCCUGUCUGUGUCGAUGCGCGCGUCCGCGUACGCGUACAGGCAGGGACGUCUCGUGCACACUCUAAAUAGUGUAAGCGCACUGAAAGUUCUACUGAGCAGCCGGUAUCGCAGUCAGUCAUGAAACGCCAGCAACAGAUGACUUUAAUGUCUUCAUGGAUGAAAAAAAAGAAAGGAGAUAGCACAGAUGAGGUGGAGCUGCUUCAGAACAGAGAGGGUGAGAUAGGGAAAAGCAGUAGCAGCAUGACGUUACAGAGAACAGAUGAGGUGAAGCUGCUUAAAGACAGGGAGGGUGAGACAGGGAGAAGUAGCUCAGAGUUGCAGGUGAGACAGGGAACAGGCGCAAGCGAAGAAGUGCAGGUAGGCAGGCAGGAUGCUGAACCCAACCAUGCUAACCCGAAGCUCAUUGCAGUGCAGCAGAAUUUAUCAUUAUAAACAACUUAAUUAUUUCCUGGAUCACCAUAGUCCCUAACUGUAUGUAAAUGGAGGAAAUGGGAUUCAAAUCGAAAACAUUUUUCCCGAUUUUGUGUCCCCCCACUUCUCAAACCAAAGUUACACCCUUGAAUAUGACAUAAGACACUCACGGACGUUAAAGUACCUCUUCCGUUCAGUAACGUUAAAGGAGGCCGUUUAGACCUCCGUUUCUGAGGCGAAAACCGCGUCCGCGUAUUUUUCUAUAUAACGUUGCCGCCUUAGAAUGCACUCCUCUUCAGUUGUCAUUGAGAUCUGAAUAUCACCCGACUCUACUACCCCCUGUUGCGUGAGCGGUGUAUUGCAUACACGCAUCGCCCGUGACGCUUGCGUCCACUGUUUAGACUAUGAAAGGGAGCGCGUCGUUCGCAAUGCUUGCUCGCGUUGACUAUGUAACGGCCCUAAAGGAGCGCUCUGUCGCACCUGUUACACGCACCCUGUCACUGUAAACUGACCUGUCAAUCAUCUUAUAACAGUUAACAUCCUCCACAUUUAAUUUAACUUCCUACUGUACUGGAGAGAAAAGAAGAAGCUCAUAUCUGCCAGUCACGAGUCUUUCAUGCAGAGAACUCUGCUCAUAUUUUCUGGAUAAUGAUGCAUUUAAAAGUUAAUGACCAAAUGGAUGUUUAUAAAAGUUCACAUUGCUGUUGCAGAUGAACUAUAACAUGGAUAACAAUAAAUAUUUUUUACCGGGUUAAAUGUUGAUUAUU
ensembl:lncRNA